GCUAGGCUGUUCUCAGUGGUGGCAGCUGACACAACAAAGAGCAGUGGUCUCAAGUUUCAGGUGGGGGGGAAGGUCUAGGUUGGAUAUUAGGAAAACUAUUUCACUGUGAGGGUGGUGAAGCACUGGAAUGGGUUACCUAGGGAGAUGGUGGAAUCUCUAUCCUUAGAGGUUUUUAAGGCCCAGCUAGAGAAAGCCCUGGCUGGGAUGAUUUAGUUGGGGUUGGUCCUGCUUUGAGCAGGGGGUUGGAUUAAUGACCUCCUGAGGUCUCUUCCAACCCUAGUCAUCUAUGAUUCUAUGUGUGGAGCAGGCCUACUCCUUGAGGCUUAGCCAUGCAGCAUCCAUGCUGUCAGGUGCAGGGAGGCAAGGUUCGGGUGCAGCAGCUAUCCGUGGUCCUGCAAGAGUAGGCCCAGGUGGUUCAGGAGCGCCUGUGGGGUUGCCACCACUAAGUCCAUGAGCAUGCCGAAACAACGCUGGCGAAGGGGCCAUGGUGGAGCAAUGACUCAUGCCUGUUCCCUCUUGAACUUCAGGAGUGUCUUGUGAAUGAGGGGGGCUGGCAGAAAGCCACACAUGAGGUAGCUUCCCCAUUACAGGAGAAGGGCAUCUGAAAGCAAGCCUUUGUCGAAGCCAUGUAGAGAACAAAACCGGUGACACUUUGUUUUGUUUGGUAGUGAACAGGUCCACCUGGGGUUUCCCCACUUCUGGAAGAUGGUGUGGGCAACCUCCAGAUGGAGGGACCACUCGUGGCAGGAGGAGAAAGACUUGCUGAGGUGAUCUGCUAACGCAUUCUGGACUGCUGGAAGGUGCGCAGCUUCCAGAUGGAGAGCAUGCUGGGUAAAGAAGUCCUACAGGUGAAGGGACUCUUGUUAGAGGCCUGGCGACUGUGCUCCCCUGUUUGUUGAUGUAAAACAUUGAUGCUGUGUUGUCCAUCAAUACCUGUACCACUUUUCCAGAUAGCUGGGGAAGGAACACUUCACAAGCCAGGCAAGAUGCCCCCGAGUUCUCUGAUGUUUAUAUGUAACAACAGCUUCUCUUGGGACCACAGGCCCUGGGUUCUGAGGUGCAAUAAGAUCUCCCCACCCCAAGUCCGACGCAUCCAACACCAGGAACCCCAUAGGUCAUGGAGCCGCAAACUGAACCCCUUUUGUUAUAUAGUGCGGUUUCAGCUACUGUACCAGGGAGGUAAGAGUUUGUGGUGGGAUUUUGAGGAACUUGUCCAAGUGGUGUGGUCUGAGAUGCAGUCUUGCAUGCUGAACUACAUAGGUGCAUGCUGCGAUGUGCCCCAGCAGUCUGAGGCAUACUUGGGCUGUGGUGAGUGGAGACUCGGGCAAUCAGAUCUGAAGUUGCUCGGAAUCUCUCAGGAAAGCUCUGACUCGGGUAGAGUUGAGGACUGCCCCGCUAAACUCUAUCCUCUGUACCAGGACCAGCGCUGAUUUUUGUUCAUUUAUCAACAGACCCAGUGCAUGGCAGGUGGCUUACAUGACCGCAAUGCUAUGUUGGACUUGUGCCUUUGAGUGACCCUUGAUGAGCCAAUUGUCAAGGUACAGGUAGAUCUGAAUACCCUGUUGCCUGAGGUAAGCUGCAACUACGGCCAUACAUUUUGUAAACACUCUUGGUGCUGUUAAGCCAAAAACAGAAGCACUGCAAACAGGUAGUGACUGACCACAAACCUUUGGAAUCUUCUGUGGCCACAGAAGACAAAUGUGGAAAUAUGCGUCCUCUAAGUUGAGGGCAGCAUACUAGUCUCCAGGAUCCAGGUAGCGGAUGAUGGAGGCCAGAGAGACCAUGUGGAACUUCAACUUCUUGAGAUAUUUGUUGAGGCCUUGGAGGUCCAGGAUGCGUCAUAGACCCCCUUUGGCCUUCAGUAUGCGGAAGUAACGGGUGUAAAAACCUUUCCCCCUUCCUGUAGGAGGUCUUGUACUUCCUGAAUGAACAGUUGCUUGUGAGAAGGGUCCCUGAAGAGGGAUGUGGAUGGGGGAUAGGAAGGAGGGAUAAAAAUAAGUUGGAGGGUAUAUCUCACUGCUACAGUGCUGAGCACCCACUGAUCUGAUGUUAUAGUGUCCCAGGAAGGGAGGUAGGGCAAUGGACAGUCCGAAAAUAAUAGGUUGGAUCUUGGCUGAAGACUUGGAAGUUGCCCUUGGGCACACCUUAAAAAUGCCUGCUUAUUUUCUGGGGAGCGAUGGCUAGAGCCUGAUUGGGUCGAAGCGACUGGGUAUUGAAGGAAUGGCAGGGGCUUGAAGCACCUCCAGGGUCUAUAGGACUCGGCCCUGGGUUGGCCCCUGAAUCUUUGAGGUUGUUGAGGCCUGAAGCACUUCCUUGAGGCUGCAGGGGUAUAAAGGCCCAGAGAGCGCAGAGUGGCCCUAGAAUCUUUUAGUCCAUGCAGGCUACUGUCAGUUUGAUCUGAAAAUAGGGCGGUGCCUUUGAAGGGGAGGCCCUGGAUGGACUGCUGGAUCAGUGCGGCCAGGCCAGAGGACAGCAGCCCCAAUGCCCACCUUAUGGAUAUGGCUAACGCCAUUCUUCUAGCCACCGAAUCAGGUGCAUCAGUCAACCUAACUGUGUAGUGUAGACCAGCCCUUUGUGAUGAUCCCAUUCUGCUUUUAAUUUAGGUUUUGUUCAGCAUCUCCUGCUCUAAGCAGCUUGAAGCCAACCUACAAUAAUGGUACUACUGUGGUUGAUGAGCAUACAUACAGACUAACACGGCUGCUACUCUGAUACUUGGCUUAUGUUGACCUAAUUAUGUCAGUGUCUAUACUACAGCCUUCCUCCCACGAAUGGAUUAAAAUCUCAAAGUAUUUUGUACAGUUCACAUAACAGACAGAGGAGCACAGGACCAAUUUACUGGGGGGAAAAUAAGUUUGAUUAAAAUUGGUGCAAUGUGACGCACUGAUACUUAAGCAUGAUGGUGCAAAAGAUUAAAUUUUUUUAAUGGUUGCAUGGGGUGCAGUGUAGUUACUACAGAAAGAACCUGUACCGACUAAAUUAUAUAUAUAAAGCCUGUGUGCUUUUUUCUCCUAAACUGUUACCUGCUCCACUGAGAAAUUAAAACCUCCCCAUCUUUUCUUAUGCUCUAAAGACAUGUACUAUAAGUGGGUUUUUUUUAAAGUAUUGAAAAAGUCAUGUUCUAGAACACUCUGAACUGAGAAAGCCAGAACUAAGAAAAGGGCUGUAUGGGGGUCCCAAUUCAGUAAGCACAUGCUUAACUUUACUCAUGUGACCUGUUCCAAUAACUUUAAGUACAUGAGCAGUCCAAUUGACUUUAAGUAUGUUCAUAAGUGUUUGUAGGAUCAAGAUCUUAGUAGUUGAAUCAUUACAUGAAAGAGAGAGUAAUGUAGCUAAUUUCUUUUAAUUAACUCUAAAAAACUAGUAGUGUGUGACCAAGCAAAAUUCCCACCAAGCCACAAAAAAUAUGGGUGAAAUUAUGGGAGGCAUGUAAUGGAGGCUGGGGGAGGCUAAGUCUCCCCUAACCUCUUGCUGCCAGGAAGGGGGGGCAGUGGUGGAUUUAGGGCCCCUGGAAAAGUUUUCCCCUGCCAUGGCCCUGGGGCUGGAGGAGCUCUUGCUCCCCACUAUGGUCCUGGGGCCAUGGAACAAGGAAGGGUGGGGCCUCAGGGGAAGAGGCAGAGUUGGGGCAGAAUGGGGUGGGUCCAUAGACGGGGCUAUGGACAGGGCCACGGGUGGAAGGGUCAGAACAGUGGAGGGGCUCUGGGCUCAGAGCUCCAGCCAGGGCUGAGAGUUCCGCUGUAGUGCUGGCCAAGGCUGAGAGUUUGACCCCGGCUGGCACAAAACUGAGUGACUGGGAAACAAAAUGACCGAUGAAAUUCAAUGUUGAUAAAUGUAAAGUAGUGCACAUUGGAAAAUAUAAUCCCAAUGAAACACACAAAAUGAUGGGAUAUCUUCGGACAACAGAAGGUUCCAGAUCACAAACCCUGGUUCUCAUGGGGGACUUCAAAUCAGCCUGACAGCUGCUGGGAGAACAAUACAGCAGUGCACAAAACAAUCCAGGACAUUUUUGGAGAGUGCUGGGGACAACUUCUUGGUGCAAGUGCUGGAGGAACCAACUAGGGGCCGUGCUCCUCUUGACCUGCUGCUCACAAACAGGGAAGAAUUGGUAGGGGAAGUAGAAGUAGGUGGCAACCUGGGCAGCAGUGACCAUGAGAUGGUCAAGUUCAGGAUACCUGACAAAAGGAAGAAAGAAGAGCAGUGGAAUACAGACCCUGGACUUCAGAAAAGCAGAAUUUGACUCCCUCAGGGAACUGAUGGGCAGGAUCCCAUCUGAUGGGCUAGUAUGAGGGGGAAAGGAGUCCCCCUGUAUUUUAAAGAAGCUUUAUUGAGGGUACAGGAACAAACCAUCCCCAUGUGCAGAAAGAAUAGUAAAUAUGGCAGGCGACCAGCAUGGCUUAACAGUGAAAUCUUUGGUGAGCUUAAACACAAAAAGGAAGCGUACAAGAAGGAAAUUUGAACAGAUAACUAGGGAGGAGUAUAAAAAUAUUGCUCGAGCAUGCAGGGGUGUAAUCAGGAAGGCCAAAGCACAACUGGAGUUGCAGUUAGUAAGGGAUGUGAAGGGUAACAAGAAGGGUUUCUGCAGGUACAUUAGCAACAAGAAGGUGGUCAGGGAAAGUGUGGAACCCUUACUGAAUAGGGGAGGCAGCCUAGUGACAAAUGUAGAAAAAGCUGAAGUACUCAAUGCUUUUUUUGCCUUGGUCUUCAGACAAGGUCAGCUCCUAGACUGGGCAGCACAGUAUGGGGAAGAAGUGAGCAGCCAUCAGUGGUGAAAGAACAGGUUAAGGACUAUUUAGAAAAGCUGGACAUGCACAAGUCCAUGGGUCCAGAUCCAAUGCAUCAGAGGAUGCGGAGGGAAUUGGCUGAUGUGUUUGGAAAGCUCUUGGCCAUUAUCUUUGAAAACUUGUGGCAAUUGGGGCAGGUUCCGGACAAUUGGAAAAAGGCAAAAUGUAGUGCCUUUCUUUAAAAAAGGGAAAAAGGAGAAUCUAGGGAACUACAUACUGCUCAGCCUCACCUCAGUCCCUGGAAAAAAAAGUCAUGGAACAGGUCCGCAAGGAAUCCAUUUUGAAGCACUUGAAGGAGAGAAAGGUGAUGAGAAAGAGUCAGCAUGGAUUCACCAAGGGAAAGUCAUGUCUGACCAACCUGAUUGUCUUCUAUGAGGAGAUAACUGGCUCUGUGGAUAUGGGGAACGCGGUGGGUGUGAUAUACCUUGACUUUAGCAAAGCUUUUGUUGUGGUCUCCCACAGCAUUCUUGCCAGCAAGUUACAAAAGUAUGGAUUGGAUGAGAUAGGUGGAUAGAAAGCUGGCUAAAUCAUUGAUCUAGUGGGUAGUGAUCAAUGGCUCGAUGUCUAGCUGGCAGCUGGUAUCAAGUGGAGUGCCCCAGAGGUCUGUCCUGGGGCCAGUUUUGUUCAACAUCUUUAUUAAUGGUCUGGUUGAUGGGAUGGAUUGCACCUUCAGCAAGUUUGCAGAUGACUAUGUUUGGGGGAAGAGGUAGAUACACUGGAGGGUAGGGAUAGGGUCCAGAGUGACCUAGACAAAUUGGAGGAUUGGGCUAAAAGAAAUCUGAUGAGGUUCAACAAGGACAAGGGCAGAGUCCUGCAUGUAGGAUGGAAGAAUCCCAUGCUCUGCUACAGGUUGGGGACUGAUUGGCUAAGCGGCAGUUCUGCAGAAAAGGACCUGGGGAUUACAGUGGACAAGAAGCUGGAUACGAGUCAACAAUGUGCCCUUGUUGCCAAGAAGGCUAAUGGCAUAUUGGGUUGCAUUAAUAGGAGCAUUGCCAGCAGAUUGAGGGAAGUGAUUAUUCCCCUCUAUUUGGUACUGGUGAGGCCACAUUUGGAGUAUUGCAUCCAGUUUUGGGCCCCCCGCUACAGAAAGGAUGUGGACAAAUUGGAGAGUCUAAGGGAGGGGAACAAAAAUUAUUAGAGGGAUGGGGCAGAACAAGGAGCACUCGUCUCCAGUUACAGUGGCGGGAAGGUCUAGAUUGGAUAUUAGGAAAACUAUUUCACUAGGUGGGUGGUGAAGCACUGGAAUGGGUUAUGUAGGGAGGAGUUGGAAUCUCCAUCCUUAGAGGUUUUUAAGGCCCAGCUUGACAAAUCCCUGGCUUGGACGAUUUAGUUGGGGUUGGUCCCGCUUUGAAUGGGGGAUUGGACAAGAUGAUCUCCUGAGGUCUCUUCCAACCCUAAUCUUCUGUGUUUUUGUUAUAUAAAUUGGCUGUUAUCACUCAGCCAAUUUUUAUUAUAGAAUAUUAUAUAGUAAUUGGAGUUAUUGUGGAUAGCUUUCUGAAAACAUCUGCUCUAUUCACAGUGGCAAUCAAAAAGGCUAAACACAAUGUUAGGAACCAUAUGAAUAGAUAAUAAGACAGUACAUAUCAUAAUACCAGUCCUGGAGCACCCACAGAGAAAAAUUAGUGGGUGCUGCUGGUGUCUCACUUGCUGGCUCUCACUGCCUGUCAUCGCUGUCUCACCUGCCGGCAACCUCGCUGACCAACUCCUCCCCCUCUGUCCCAGCGCUUCCCACGCACUGCUAACAGCUGUUUCGUAGUGUGGAAAGCUCUGGGAGAGAGGGCGAGAAGCAGGGAUGGGGUGCACUUAGGGGAGAUGGCGGGGAAGAGGCAGGACAGGGACUUGGGGGAAGGGUUGAAGGGCGGGAUUGAGCACCCCUGGCGAGAGAAGGGCUACUAGGAUGAUCCGGGGAAUGGAAAACCUGUCUUAUGAAAGGAGACUCAAGGAGCUUGGAUUGUUUAGCCUAACCAACAAGAAGGCUGAUAUGAUUGCUCUCUAUAAAUAUAUCAGAGGGAUAAAUACCAGAGAGGGAGAGGAAUUAAAGCUCAGUACCAGUGUGGACACAAGAACAAAUGGAUAUAAACUGGCUAUCGGGAAGUUUAGACUUGAAAUUAGACGAAGGUUUCUAAUCAUCAGAGGAGUGAAGUUCUGGAACAGCCUUCCAAGGGAAGCAGUGGGGGCAAAAGACCUAUCUGAAUUCAAGAUUAAACUCAAUAAGUUUAUGGAGGAGAUGGUAUGAUGUGAUAACAUGAUUUUGGCAAUUAACUGAUCUUUAACUAUUCAUGGUAAAUAGGCCCAGUGGCCUGUGAUGGGAUGUUAGAAGGGGUGGGAUCUGAGUUACUACAGAGAAUGCUUUCCUGGGUAUCUGGCUGGUGAAUCUUGCCCACGUGCUCAGAGUUCAGCGGAUUGCCAUAUGUGGGGUCAGGAAGGAGAUUUCCUCCAAGGCAGAUUGGAAGAGACCCUGGGGGUUUUUCCACCUUCCUCUGUAGCAUGGGUCACUUGCUGGAGGAUUCGCUGCACCUUGAAGUCUUUCAACCAUCAUUUGAGGACUUCAAUAGCUCAGACAUAGGUGAGACGUUUAUUGCAGGAGUGGGUAGGUGAGAUUCGGUGGCCUGCAUUGUGCAGGAGAUCAGACUAGAUGAUCAUAAUGGUCCCUUCUGACCUUAAUAUUUAUGAGUCUAGAGGGGAAGUUGGCGCCUAUGCCUCUGUAUAAAUCCAUGGUAUUCUCACACCCUGAAUACUGUGGGUAGUUUUGGUCUCCCCCUCUCAAAAAAGAUUUUUGAAAUGGAAAAAAGUAGAGAAAGGCAACAAAAAUGAUUAAGGGUAUGAACGGCUUCCAUAUAAAGGAGAGAUUAAAAAGACGGACUUUUCAGCUUGGAAAACAGAUAAGGGGGGAUAUGAUAGAGGUCUAUCAAAUCACGAAUGGCAUGGAGAAAAAGUGUUAAUUAUUCCUUCACAUAACAAGAACCAGGAGUCACCCAAUGAAGUUAAUAGGCAGUAGGUUUAAAACAAACUAAAAGGAAGGAAGUAUUUCUUUACAUAGACAAUCAACCUAUGGAACUUGUUGCCAGGAGAUGUUGUGAAUACCAACAAUAUAAGUGGGUUAAAAAAAAAAUUAGAUAAGUUCAUGGGGGAUAGGUCCAUCAAUGGCUAUUAGCCAGGAUGGUCAGGGAUGCAACCCCAUGCUCUGGGCAUCCAUAACCUCUGAUUACCAGAAACUGGGAGUGGAAGACAGGAUGGAUCACUCAGUAAUUGCCCUGUUCUGUUCAUUCCCUCUGAAGCACCUGGCAUAGGCAACUGUCAGAAGACAGGAUACUGGGCUAGAUGGACCAUUUGUCUGACCCAGUAUGGCCAUUCUUAUGUUCUUAGCUACACCUGUAUUCCCUGCCAUGGUCUAGCAAGGACACUCACUCUUAUGCUCCUGGUUCUCAGCUGUUACCUCUCGUGCUUGUACCUCUCCCGCUCCUAACUGGGGGGUUUUCAGGCUGCAUAGUUCCCUGCCUGUACUGUUAUUCCCUAGCAAAAAGUCCCUAAAAGGCUAUUCUCUCCAAAGGCUAUGACCAUGUAAUUGCCCAGUUACAGGAUACCACACAUGCAUCCCUUUACAAAGGAAGCAUAUUUAUUCUUAAGAUUAAAGCAUUACAGAGAAAAAUUAAAAUAUAGGAACCUAAACACAUACUAAAAAGCUUACCAGAGGUCACCCCAGUUCCAAAUCUCAUGCUCUGGCAGGUGUCAGUCCUUUCAACCCUUCCCUAAGGAUUGGGGUCCCCGCUCGGACAGAAAGUUCUCUGUUGCUGUAUCAGAAAGAAGGACCUGGGUCAGUUUAAACUCAGGCUAUUUAUCCAAAAGUCCUUUCUUUGUCUGUUAGGGCAUGGCUACGCUUGCGAGUUAGAGUGCAUUAAAGCAGCCUUGGCUGCCCUAACUCAUGACACGUCCAUAUUGGCAAGGCACGUAGAGUGGUCUGACUCAGCAGCUGGAAAACUCCUGGUAAUCCACCUCCAUGAGAGGCAUAAUGCUUGGUGCACCUUAACUGGAGCGCCACAGCACCAGUGUGGACGCUGUGGUCUGUUAGUGUACUCUGAUCGGCCUCCAGAAGUGUCCCACAAUGCCUGUGCUAGCCACUCUGGUCAUCACUUUGAACUCUACUGCCCUGCCCUCAGGUGACCAACCAUCAGACCCACCUUUUAAAUUCUCUGGGAAUUUUGAUAAUCCCCUUCCUGUUUGCUCAGCCAGCCAUAGAGAGCUCUCAGCGAAUCUUUCCAGGUGACCAUGCCUCCACAUGCCAGGCCAUCCCCAGUAUGGGGCAAUGGCGAGGUGCUGGACCUCAGUGUUUGCGGGGAGGAAGCUGUCCAGUCCCAGCUCUGCUCCAGCCGUAGGAAUUAAGAUACCUUCAGGCAGAUAUCAAGGGACAUGAUGGAAAGGGGCCAUGACCGGGACGCACUUCAGUGCGGUGUUAAAGUGAAGGAGCUGCAGAGUGCCUACCACAAAGUCCGUGAGGGAGACCGCCACUCCGGUGCUACCCCCAUAACCUGCCGUUUCUACAAAGGGCUGGAUGCAAUACUUGGGGGCGACCCCACCUCCACUCUGAAGACCAUCAUGGACACUUCAGAGUCCAGUUCAACAAGGCAGCAGGAGGAGGAGGAAAGCAGGAGUGAGGGUGCUGAGGAGGAGGACACCCCAGCAUCCUUAGAUGCAUGCAGCCAGGAGCUGUUCUCAAGCCAGGAGGAAGGUAGCCAGUCGCAGUGGCCGGUGCUUGGGGAAGGAUAAAAACCAGAGGACGUGCCCGAUGGAACCUUGAGAUCUCAGCCGUCCAUGUUAUCACCGGCCACAAGACUCCAAAGAAUUAGGAAGAGGCCAUGUAGAAGCAAAGAGGACAUGCUGCAUGAAGUAAUGCAUCAGUCCCUUCACAAUAAUCAAAAAGUGCAAGAGUGGAGGGAGAGCAAAAGGAGGUUCCGCCAGCAGAAUGUGGAGUGCCGGCACCAAAAGUGGCUGAUGAGCAUUAUGGAAUGCCCAAGCAGACUCAUUCCAGGUGCUCGUAGUCAUGCAGGCGGAGCACUACCAUCUGUCCCCUCUCCCGCAGCCCUUGUCCCAAAACUCUUUUCCUUGUGCCCCCAUGUCACUUCCAACCCACUUUACCUAACAUCUGGGUUCUUAUCACCACCAGCUGCUUCCAACACCUGUAGCUUCACCACCCAGCCCUGCAAACAACCCUUAUCCACUGCACUCAACCCCCAUCACCAUGCAGUAUAGCCAUCCUGAAGUGCAGCACUCCAGACAGGAAGGGGAGUAUGAAAACAGGACAUACUCAAAUCUGUGAUUGAGCCAUUCGUCCCAAACAGUUGGGUUUCUUUUCAAUAAAU